rnacentral:rRNA from 1 species
UACCCGCGGCCCGAGUGGUGCUCAUUAUUAUUGAGCCUAAAGCGUCCGUAGCUGGCCGGGCAAAUCUCCGGGUAAAUCGGGCCGCUCAACGGUCCGAAUUCCGGAGACACUGCUCGGCUUGGAAUCGGGAGAGGGUGAAGGUACUCCCGGGGUAGGGGUAAAAUCCUGUAAUCCUGGGGGGACCACCAGUGGCGAAGGGGUUCACCUAUAACGAAUCCGACAGUGAGGGACGAAGCCCUAGGGCGCAAACGGGAUUAGAUACCCCGGUAGUCUAGGGUGUAAACGCUGCAGACUUGGUGUUGGGGGUCCUGCGUGGGCUCCCAGUGCCGGAGCGAAGGUGUUGAGUCUGCCGCUUGGGGAGUACGGUCGCAAGACUGAAACUUAAAGGAAUUGGCGGGAGAGCACCGCAACGGGAGGAGCGUGCGGUUCAAUUGGAUUCAACGCCGGAAAACUCACCGGAGGCGACGGAGGGAUGAAAGCCAGGCUGAAGACCUUGCCCGAUUCUCCGAGAGGUGGUGCAUGGCCGUCGUCAGUUCGUACCGUAAGGCGUUCUGUUAAGUCAGAUAACGAACGAGACCCUCGCCGUUAGUCGCGAUCUUACAAGCGAUUGUAGAAGCUCACUAGCGGGAUCGCUGCCGUUAAGGCAGAGGAAGGAGAGGUCUACGGUAGGUCCGUAUGCCCCGAAUCUUCCGGGCACCACGCGCGCUACAAAGGUGGGGACAAUGGGACCCGACCUCGAAAGGGGGAGGCAAUCCUGAAACCCCAUCGUAGUCUGGAUCGAGGGCUGUAACUCGCCCUCGUGAAAAUGGAUUCCGUAGUAAUCGCGGGUCAACAUCCCGCGGUGAAUGUGCCCAAAGGUCUU